rnacentral:rRNA from 1 species
GGGCACGACACCGGAGAGGGAGCCUGAGAAACGGCUACCACAUCCAAGGAUGGCAGCAGGCGCGCAAAUUACCCAAUCCCGACACGGGGAGGUAGUGACAAUAAAUAACAAUACGGGGUUCUUUAGGAUCUCGUAAUUGGAAUGAGUACAAUUUAAAUCUCUUAACGAGGAACAAUUGGAGGGCAAGUCUGGUGCCAGCAGCCGCGGUAAUUCCAGCUCCAAUAGCGUAUAUUAAAGUUGUUGCAGUUAAAAAGCUCGUAGUUGAAUUUCGGGGUUAGUAGGUUGGUCAUGCCUCUGGUAUGUACUGGUCUCACUGAUUCCUCCUUCCUGAUGAACCGUAAUGCCAUUAAUUUGGUGUUGCGGGGAAUUUGGACUGUUACUUUGAAAAAAUUAGAGUGUUUAAAGCAAGCUAACGCUUGAAUACAUUAGCAUGGAAUAAUGAAAUAGGACGUUCGAUCCUAUUUUGUUGGUUUCUAGGAUUGACGUAAUGAUUAAUAGGGAUAGUUGGGGGCAUUAGUAUUCAAUUGUCAGAGGUGAAAUUCUUGGAUUUAUUGAAGACUAACUACUGCGAAAGCAUUUGCCAAGGAUGUUUUCAUUAAUCAAGAACGAAAGUUAGGGGAUCGAAGACGAUCAGAUACCGUCGUAGUCUUAACCAUAAACUAUGCCGACUAGGGAUCGGAUGAUGUUAAUUUUUUAAUGACUCAUUCGGCGCCUUACGGGAAACCAAAG